rnacentral:rRNA from 1 species
UACGUAGGGUGCGAGCGUUAAUCGGAAUUACUGGGCGUAAAGCGUGCGCAGGCGGUUUUGUAAGUCAGAUGUGAAAUCCCCGGGCUUAACCUGGGAACUGCGCUUGAAACUACAAGGCUAGGGUGUGGCAGAGGGGGGUGGAAUUCCACGUGUAGCAGUGAAAUGCGUAGAGAUGUGGAGGAACACCGAUGGCGAAGGCAGCCCCCUGGGUCAACACUGACGCUCAGGCACGAAAGCGUGGGGAGCAAACAGG